AGUCACCGACAACAUGAAGGUCCUGCUGCUCCUCGCCCUCGUUGCGGCUGCUGCCGCCUGGCCGAACUUUGGCUUCCAGUCGGACGCAGGAGGUGAGUCUGAUGCCCAGAAGCAGCAUGACGUCAACUUCCUGCUUCAUAAGAUCUACGGGAAUAUUCGUGACUCUGACCUAAAAGCCAAAGCUGAUUCCUUUGACCCCGCGGCCGAUUUAUCCCAUUACAGCGAUGGAGGUGAAGCUGUACAGAAACUUGUUAGAGACCUUAAGGAUGACAGGCUUCUCCAACAGAGGCACUGGUUCUCUCUCUUCAACCCGAGGCAGCGUCAUGAAGCACUCAUGCUUUUCGAUGUUCUCAUUCACUGCAAGGACUGGAAUACAUUUGUCAGCAACGCUGCCUACUUCCGUCAGCAUAUGAAUGAAGGAGAGUUUGUCUAUGCUCUGUAUGUUGCAGUCAUCCACUCACCUCUGACUGAGCACGUUGUACUUCCUCCACUCUAUGAGGUCACGCCUCACCUCUUCACUAACAGCGAAGUCAUUGAAUCAGCUUAUCGUGCCAAGCAGACACAAAAACCUGGUAAAUUUAAGUCUAGUUUCACUGGAACCAAGAAGAAUCCUGAACAGAGAGUAGCCUAUUUCGGAGAGGACAUUGGAAUGAACACUCACCACGUUACCUGGCACAUGGAAUUCCCAUUCUGGUGGGACGACAAAUAUACCAUCAUCUGGAUCGCAAAGGAGAGAACUUCUUCUGGGUACAUCAUCAACUUACCGUUCGCUUUGAUGCCGAACGUCUCUCCAAUUACUUAGAUCCCGUCGAGGAACUUAGCUGGGAUAAACCCAUCGUACAAGGUUUUGCUCCUCACACCACUUACAAGUAUGGCGGUCAGUUCCCCUCUCGUCCAGAUAAUGUAGACUUCGAGGAUGUGGACGGUGUUGCUCGCAUUCGAGACUUGCUUAUUAUCGAGAGCCGAAUUCGCGAUGCUAUUGCCCACGGUUAUAUUGUCGAUAAGGCUGGCAAUCACAUUGACAUCAUGAAUGAGCGUGGAAUCGACGUCCUUGGAGAUGUUAUUGAAUCAUCUUGUAUAGCCCUAACGUCCAGUACUAUGGAGCUUUGCACAAUACUGCUCACAUUGUACUUGGUCGACAGAGUGAUCCUCAUGGAAAGUACGCUUUACCCCCUGGUGUACUAGAACACUUUGAAACUGCCACCCGUGAUCCUAGCUUCUUUAGGCUGCAUAAAUACAUGGAUAACAUCUUCAAGGAACACAAGGACAGUCUCCCUCCCUACACAGUGGAAGAACUACAUUUGCCGGUGUAAGUGUAGACAGCGUAGCAAUUGAAGGCAAACUAGAGACCUACUUCGAGGACUUCGAAUACAAUCUUAUUAACGCCGUCGAUGACACUGAACAGAUUGCAGAUGUAGACAUUUCUACUUAUGUGCCUCGUCUCAACCACAAGGACUUUAAAAUCAAAGUUGAUGUUAGCAAUAACAAGGGCGAGGAAGUUCUAGCUACCGUGCGCAUUUUCGCCUGGCCUCACCUCGACAACAAUGGUAUCAAGUUCACCUUUGACGAAGGCCGUUGGAAUGCCAUUGAACUGGAUAAGUUCUGGGUCAAGUUGCCUGGUGGACACACCAUAUCGAGCGUAAAUGCUCGGAAUCUGCUGUUACUGUGCCUGAUGUGCCUAGUUUUGCAACACUCUUUGAGAAGACCAAAGAAGCCUUAGGUGGAGCAGACUCCGGACUUAAAGAUUUCGAGAGUGCCACUGGUAUUCCAAAUCGAUUCCUCAUCCCAAGGGUAAUGAACAGGGUCUGGAGUUCGACCUUGUUGUUGCCGUGACUGAUGGCGCAGCCGACGCAGCAGUGGAUGGCCUCCACGAAAACACCGAAUUCAAUCAUUAUGGUUCCCAUGGCAAGUACCCUGACAAUCGCCCACAUGGCUACCCUCUGGAUCGCAGGGUUCCCGAUGAACGUGUAUUCGAAGAUCUUCCCAACUUCGGCCACAUCCAAGUUAAGGUCUUCAAUCAUGGCGAGCAUAUCCAGCAUUAAUAGGAAGCUAUUUUAACUAUAUAUCCCAUAUACAUUCGAUCAUGAAAAGUGAUCAGGUAUUAUCAGAUAGGUAGAGUUUUCAACCAUCGUCAGCAUGCUCACCUUCACUGGAUGUUUUCUAACGGAAUUAAAGGGUAUGAAUUUUGCUUUGAUAUUAAGAGUGAAAAUAUGUAGUCUAUUUCUUUCUGUAUGAAGAGCUAAUAAAAGAUGUAGCAAU